rnacentral:rRNA from 1 species
ACGCUCGACACCUACGGAGGCAGCAGUCGGGAAUAUUGCGCAAUGGAGGAAACUCUGACGCAGUGACGCCGCGUAUAGGAAGAAGGUUUUCGGAUUGUAAACUAUUGUCGUUAGGGAAGAGAAAGGACAGUACCUAAGGAGGAAGCUCCGGCUAACUACGUGCCUGCAGCCGCGGUAAUCUGAGGCGGGCUGGACAAGGC